GACACCACCCUUCGUGGACACGCCCUCUAGGCGUAAGGUUCCAUGCGAGCGGUAAGAGUGCGGCGGGACUUGGAAAUCGAAUCUGUGCUCUGUGAGAGAUCCUAGGAAAGGAAACUGGGAGCCCGGGAGAACUAAAAUUCCCAAUUAAAAGUGAAUUUAAAUCUGAGCUGUUCUUAGACCCAGAAUUUCUUGCCUGAAGGAGGAAUCAGGUCCCCACAAGGAAAGACCCUGCAACUGUAUAAAAAAAGAAUCUAAAAAGAUCAUGACUCCUUCAGUCCUUUCCCAAAGAGACCUAUGGAAAUUUCCUCAGGGGUUAAGCUUGCAUUGCAGUCUCAUGGCUCUCCCAGCCUCCUCCAGCCCUCUCCCCAUUUCUUGCACCCAAGCAUUUUCCUCAACACACCUCUUGCACAGCUAAUCCCAUCUUGGUGUCUGCUUCUCAGAGGAUCAUAACUGACACAAGUAGGAAGAGGAAGUCUGAUACAUGGACAGUCAAGUUGAUAGUGCAUGGGUACAAGUAAAAAAUGAAGUGGGCUGGGCACGGUGGCUCACGCUUGUAAUCCCAGCA
ensembl:lncRNA CPB2-AS1 CPB2 antisense RNA 1